rnacentral:rRNA from 1 species
UAGGGAAUAUUGGUCAAUGGGCGGAAGCCUGAACCAGCCAUGCCGCGUGCAGGAAGACGGCCCUCUGGGUUGUAAACUGCUUUUAUCAGGGAAGAAAAAGCUCAUGCGUGAGCAACUGACGGUACCUGAAGAAUAAGCACCGGCUAACUCCGUGCCAGCAGCCGCGGUAAUACGGAGGGUGCAAGCGUUGUCCGGAUUUAUUGGGUUUAAAGGGUGCGUAGGCGGGUCAGUAAGUCAGGGUUAAAAGGCGAUAGCUCAACUAUCGUAAGGUCUUGAUACUGCUGGUCUUGAGUACACUGGAGGUUACUGGAAUUAGUAGAGUAGCGGUGAAAUGCAUAGAUACUACUAGGAACACCAAUUGCGAAGGCAGGUAACUACGGUGUAACUGACGCUGAUGCACGAAAGCGUGGGGAGCGAACAGGAUUAGAUACCCGUGUAGUCC